rnacentral:ncRNA from 18 species
GGAAUCCGGUGCGAAUCCGGAGCGGUCCCGCCACUGUGACCAGGCUGAAUCGGCGUCGAGCCGAGCCGGCCCGGGAGUCAGGAC